rnacentral:sRNA from 1 species
AGAGGUGAUCUGGAUCUGGCUGAGACAUCUGUAAUCCCAUUGGUUCAUUCAGAGGAUCUGGAUGGCUAGGUGGGUUUUUCCUCCUUCCCCUGCUGCUCUACUCCAUGUACAUCCUUCCUGAAACUGUACUCUUCAUUAAAGAGGAGGAUUUCCCCUUGAUAGAUGGAAAUCAUUGUAGCUGAAGUUUUCUCUGGUCCUGCUCAGCCCCACAACCCCCGCAGCUGCUUAUAAAAUAAUCACCCAGAAGCUUAUAUUAAUUAAAACUGCUCAGCCAU